rnacentral:rRNA from 1 species
UACGGAGGGUGCAAGCGUUAUCCGGAUUCACUGGGUUUAAAGGGUGCGUAGGAGGGCAGGUAAGUCAGUGGUGAAAUCCCCGAGCUUAACUUGGGAACUGCCGUUGAUACUAUCUGUCUUGAAUGUUGUGGAGGUGAGCGGAAUAUGUCAUGUAGCGGUGAAAUGCUUAGAUAUGACAUAGAACACCCAUUGCGAAGGCAGCUUGCUACACAAUGAUUGACGCUGAGGCACGAAAGCGUGGGGAUCAAACAGG